ACGAACGCUGGCGGCGUGCCUAAUACAUGCAAGUCGAACGCUUCUUUCCUCCCGAGUGCUUGCACUCAAUUGGAAAGAGGAGUGGCGGACGGGUGAGUAACACGUGGGUAACCUACCCAUCAGAGGGGGAUAACACUUGGAAACAGGUGCUAAUACCGCAUAACAGUUUAUGCCGCAUGGCAUAAGAGUGAAAGGCGCUUUCGGGUGUCGCUGAUGGAUGGACCCGCGGUGCAUUAGCUAGUUGGUGAGGUAACGGCUCACCAAGGCCACGAUGCAUAGCCGACCUGAGAGGGUGAUCGGCCACACUGGGACUGGGACACGGCCCAGACUCCUACGGGAGGCAGCAGUAGGGAAUCUUCGGCAAUGGACGAAAGUCUGACCGAGCAACGCCGCGUGAGUGAAGAAGGUUUUCGGAUCGUAAAACUCUGUUGUUAGGGAAGAACAAGGACGUUAGUAACUGAACGUCCCCUGACGGUAUCUAACCAGAAAGCCACGGCUAACUACGUG
rnacentral:rRNA from 1 species